rnacentral:rRNA from 1 species
GAUGAACGCUGGCGGCGUGCCUAAUACAUGCAAGUCGAGCGAACAGACGAGGAGCUUGCUCCUCUGACGUUAGCGGCGGACGGGUGAGUAACACGUGGAUAACCUACCUAUAAGACUGGGAUAACUUCGGGAAACCGGAGCUAAUACCGGAUAAUAUAUUGAACCGCAUGGUUCAAUAGUGAAAGACGGUUUUGCUGUCACUUAUAGAUGGAUCCGCGCCGCAUUAGCUAGUUGGUAAGGUAACGGCUUACCAAGGCGACGAUGCGUAGCCGACCUGAGAGGGUGAUCGGCCACACUGGAACUGAGACACGGUCCAGACUCCUACGGGAGGCAGCAGUAGGGAAUCUUCCGCAAUGGGCGAAAGCCUGACGGAGCAACGCCGCGUGAGUGAUGAAGGUCUUCGGAUCGUAAAACUCUGCUAUUAGGGAAGAACAAAUGUGUAAGUAACUAUGCACGUCUUGACGGUACCGAAUCAGAAAGCCACGGCUAACUACGU